rnacentral:rRNA from 1 species
ACUCCUACGGGAGGCAGCAGUGGGGAAUAUUGGACAAUGGGCGGAAGCCUGAUCCAGCAACGCCGCGUGAGGGAUGACGGCCUUCGGGUUGUAAACCUCUUUCAGUAGGGACGAAGCGCAAGUGACGGUACCUACAGAAGAAGCACCGGCCAACUACGUGCCAGCAGCCGCGGUAAUACGUAGGGUGCGAGCGUUGUCCGGAAUUAUUGGGCGUAAAGGGCUCGUAGGCGGUUUGUCGCGUCGGGAGUGAAAACACCGGGCUUAACUCGGUGCUUGCUUUCGAUACGGGCAGACUAGAGGUAUGCAGGGGAGAACGGAAUUCCUGGUGUAGCGGUGAAAUGCGCAGAUAUCAGGAGGAACACCGGUGGCGAAGGCGGUUCUCUGGGCAUUACCUGACGCUGAGGAGCGAAAGUGUGGGGAGCGAACAGGAUUAGAUACCCUGGUAAUCCACACCGUAAACGUUGGGCGCUAGGUGUGGGGCCUAUUCCAUGGGUUCCCGUGCCGCAGCUAACGCAUUAAGCGCCCCGCCUGGGGAGUACGGCCGCAAGGCUAAAACUCAAAGGAAUUGACGGGGGCCCGCACAAGCGGCGGAGCAUGCGGAUUA